rnacentral:rRNA from 1 species
AGCAGCCGCGGUAAUUCCAGCUCCAAUAGCGUAUAUUAAAGUUGUUGCAGUUAAAAAGCUCGUAGUUGAAUUUCAGGCCUGGCUGGACGGUCCGCCCUUCGGGUGAGUACUGUCUGUGGUCGGGUCCUACCUUCUGGCGAAGCGUCAUGGCCUUAACCGGCCGUGGCGGGGAACCAGGACUUUUACUGUGAAAAAAUUAGAGUGUUCAAAGCAGGCAAUCGCUUGGAUACAUUAGCAUGGAAUAAUGGAAUAGGACAAUGGUUCUAUUUGUUGGUUUCUAGGACCGUUGUAAUGAUUAAUAGGGAUAGUUGGGGGCAUUAGUAUUCAAUUGUCAGAGGUGAAAUUCUUGGAUUUAUUGAAGACUAACUACUGCGAAAGCAUUUGCCAAGGAUGUUUUCAUUAAUCAAGAACGAAAGUUAGGGGAUCGAAGACGAUCAGAUACCGUCGUAGUCUUAACCAUAAACUAUGCCGACUAGGAAUCGGGCGAUGCUGACAAAAUGACGC